UACCCGCAGCACAAGUGGUGGUCAUUAUUAUUGGGCGUAAAGAGCUCGUAGGCGGUUUGUUGCGUCGGCUGUGAAAUCCCGAGGCUCAACCUCGGGUCUGCAGUCGAUACGAGCAAACUAGAGUGUUGCAGGGGAGACUGGAAUUCCUGGUGUAGCGGUGAAAUGCGCAGAUAUCAGGAGGAACACCGGUGGCGAAGGCGGGUCUCUGGGCAACAACUGACGCUGAGGAGCGAAAGCGUGGGGAGCGAACAGG
rnacentral:rRNA from 1 species